CCUACGGGUGGCAGCAGUGAGGAAUAUUGGUCAAUGGGCGCAAGCCUGAACCAGCCACGUCGCGUGAAGGAUGACGGCCCUACGGGUUGUAACCUUCUUUUUACGGGGCGAAACAAAAGACGGUACCUGUCGAAUAAGCCACGGCUAACUACGUGCCAGCAGCCGCGGUAAUACGUAGGUGGCAAGCGUUAUCCGGAUUUACUGGGUGUAAAGGGCGUGUAGGCGGGAUGGCAAGUCAGAUGUGAAAUCCGCGGGCUCAACCCCGGAACUGCAUUUGAAACUGUUUGUCUUGAGUGACGGAGAGGCAGGCGGAAUUCCGAGUGUAGCGGUGAAAUGCGUAGAUAUGAGGAGGAACACCAGUGGCGAAGGCGGCCUGCUGGACGACAACUGACGGUGAGGCGCGAAAGCGUGGGGAGCAAACAGGAUUAGAUACCCGGGUAGUC
rnacentral:rRNA from 1 species